GUUUCUGUAGUUGAAGCUUACAACGGCGAUUUUU
rnacentral:tRNA from 1 species